UUGGGGUGACGGUGGGCUGCUCUUGUGUUCUCUAGGUGUUUGACCUGGCCGCGUCGUGCUCCCUGGUGUGCUGUUUCCACAUAGAGCUGGAGGCCCAGGCCAUUCACAAGGACCGCUCCAUCGUCCUGUCCAGCAACUCCUUCAGGGAUUAUGUCCUCUUCGCCUACAGAUCGGGGACCCAGGCGGCGGUGCUCAGUGCCAGGGGAGGGCAGGUCAGUGCCGUGCUGUCGGCGCAGCACGCCGCCGCCUCCAUACAGGCCGUGGACAUGACCUCCCAGUACCUGCUCCUCUUCUGCAGGUACCCGUACAAGAGAGACGGCGAGAUCCUCCACAUCGAGCUCUUCUGCGCCUCCUCCUUCCUGUACCUGCGCUCCAUCCUCGGCUGCGGCCAGGACCCCGUCUCCCAGGUGGCCGUGAACCGCGCGGGGACGCACGCCGUGGGCUUCUGCCCGUCCGACCGCACGGGCGUCACCGAGGUGGUGACCUGGAACCUGGAGACCGAGGACCACAAGCACGUGGCCCGCAUGGCCGGAGCGCUGGCCACGGGUCAGUGAGCACCCCGGUUUGCGCGGUGCACGGCUUUGGUUUUUGUCCGUAUUC
rnacentral:lncRNA from 1 species